GUUUGCAUGUAUUAUUUCUAUAUCUAGAGUUAGGAGAAUAAGAUAUAAACUUGCAUCACUGGUGUAAACAUAUUAAGUGGAAGCCAUUAAGGGUGCUCCAGAAACAAUCAGUUGUAAAUGGCCUUCCUUACUUGAAAGCAUUCCUGUGUACCUGUGGGCCAGCCCAAGGGGAAUGGAGACUAGAGGUCUUACUAUGACAUGUAACCAUGUCACCUGAUAAUGAAAUCCAUCUUAAAUCUUGUACUUUUUCCUUUAGA